CUCCCAGCCACGCACAACCUGCGUGUGCGUCUCUCUCUCUCCCAGCCACGCACAGCCUGCGUCUCUCUCUCUCCCAGCCACACACAGCCGGCGCGUCUCUCUCUCCCCCAGCCACGCACAGCCGGCGCGUCUCUCUCUCUCUCCCAGCCACGCACAGCCGGCGUGUGAGUCUCUCUCUCUCUCUACCAGCCACGCACAGCCGACGCACCUAUAUCUCUCUCCCAGCAACGCACAGCUGGCAUGUGUCUCUCUCUUUCUCUGUACCAGCCACGCACAGCCGGCGUGUCUCUGUCCCACACAUUCCCCUCCUGCCAAUCAUUUCAUGUAGCGUGGCCAAGGCACCGCAGUAGAGAAUCUUCUGUAUCCUCUACCCAGUCUAACAGGAAGUGCUCCCAGACAGAGUAGUGG